rnacentral:rRNA from 1 species
UGCGUAGGUGGUCCGUUAAGUCCGUUGUGAAAGCCCUGGGCUCAACCCAGGAACUGCUUCGGAUACUGGCGGACUUGAGGCUAGUAGAGGUCACUGGAACUGACGGUGGAGCGGUGAAAUGCGUAGAUAUCGUCAGGAACGCCAAUGGUGAAGACAGGUGACUGGGCUAGUUCUGACACUGAGGCACGAAAGCGUGGGGAGCGAACGGGAUUAGAUACCCCGGUAGUCCACGCCCUAAACGAUGCAGACUAGACUGCAGCGGGUUACACCCCGUUGCGGUCGGAGCGAAAUUGUUAAGUCUGCCACCUGGGAAGUACGGUCGCAAGGCUAA